GACGAACGCUGGCGGCGUGCUUAACACAUGCAAGUCGAGCGGAGCGGCGAACGGGUGAGUAACGCGUGAGUAACUGCCCCCCUCUCUGGGAUAACAGUUGGCAACGGCUGCUAAUACCGGAUAGCGUGGGAUGGUUCUGGGCCUAUCAGCUUGUUGGUGGGGUAGUGGCCUACCACGGCGACGACGGGUUGCCGGCCUGGGAGGGGGACCGGCCACAUUGGGCUGAGAUACGGCGCAAACGCCUACGUGGGGCAGCAGUGGGGAAUAUUGCACAGUGGGGGAAACCCUGUGGCAGCAGCCCGCGUGCGGAAUGACGGCUUUCGGGUUGUAAACCGCUUUCAGCCAUGACGCGGUAGUGGCAGAAGAAGCACCGGCUAACUACGUGCCAGCAGCCGCGGUAAUUC
rnacentral:rRNA from 1 species